GUGAAUUUCAAGAAGUGGCAGAAGCAGGAAAACGAGGAAGGAUCCAGUACAAAAAGGGGUUCGAAUUUCCUGAAGUAGUGGAUACGCUGGUGAGAGAAGGUGAUCACGUGCUGAUGAUCGAAGACUUGACGGCCAGAGUGCUGAUGGCUCACCUUUUUUCGUUGACGGGCCAAUGUGACUUCUACACUUCCAGGGACGCUUAUCUUCCAUAUUUCUUUGCUAUGAUUACUAAGAAGAACAGUCGGCUAACUAUUCACCUUAAUAAACAGAUACGGUCUGUAACUGAAGGAGGACUGUACGAACGUUGGAUUGCUGAUGCCAUCCCCAAUUCAACCACGUGCUUGUCAGCACCGAACACCAUCACCGUCACCUCACGCCUUUCACUGAAAAACUUUUGGGUGAGGAAGACUUUAUGCUUAUCACUGUGUUUAAGUGGUAAAUACACAUUAUUAAUUUUCAAAAUGUACACUAAGAGUACAAUUUCACUGUUUGUAUAUGAUUUGAAAUCAUCUUAGAAAAUGCCUUAUUAAUUUAUUUUUUUUGUUUUUGUUUUCAGGGAUUAUUUUUGUUGCCCCCAGGAGGAUUUCUCUUUGCCUCUCUUGUGCUAUGCUUUGAAAUAUUUGCAGGAACAAGUUCCUCUGAAUAUUAAUGUCAUAUGAACACACCAUGAGUAAAGAUCUGAUAUGGACAUUGUAUCAUGGUGUAUAAUACUGUAUACAACAAACACAAAUAGGAAUGAAAAAAAAAAUGUAUACAAAAUAAUAAAUCGGGGAAUGUUUUAACUUCUUUGGUUUCAAUUGCCUAUGCAUAUAUCGGCAAACCAGGUGGGGAAACCAGUAGGUCAACACAAAG